UACAGAGGUUGCAAGCGUUGUUCGGAAUUACUGGGCGUAAAGGGCGCGUAGGCGGUUCGAUAAGUCCCGGGUGAAAGCCCCCGGCUCAACUGGGGAACUGCACGGGAAACUGACGGACUUGAGUUCGGGAGAGGGAAGCGGAAUUCCGGGUGUAGCGGUGAAAUGCGUAGAUAUCCGGAGGAACACCGGUGGCGAAGGCGGCUUCCUGGACCGACACUGACGCUGAGGCGCGAAAGCUAGGGGAGCAAACGGG
rnacentral:rRNA from 1 species